rnacentral:rRNA from 1 species
GAGGGGGAGGGUAAUAGACUGGAAACGGUAGCUAAUACCGCAUAACGUCGCAAGACCAAAGAGGGGGACCUUCGGGCCUCUUGCCAUCGGAUGUGCCCAGAUGGGAUUAGCUAGUAGGUGGGGUAACGGCUCACCUAGGCGACGAUCCCUAGCUGGUCUGAGAGGAUGACCAGCCACACUGGAACUGAGACACGGUCCAG